AACGAACGCUGGCGGCGCGUCUUAAACAUGCAAGUCGAACGGCAGCAAGGUGCUUGCUCCUUCUGAGAGUGGCGGACUGGCGAGUAACACGUGGGUGACAUACCUUUUAGUUUGUGAUAGCUAUUAGCAUUAGGAGGCUAAACCUAAUACCGCCGUACCUCUUCGGGGGGUACGAGGAAAGCUGCUAAGCUUUCGCGAAAAGAUUGGCUGGCGGCCCAUUAUGCUCGUUGGUGGGGUAACGGCCCACCAAGGCGAUGAUGGGUAUCCGGCCUGAGAGGGUGAACGGACACAUUGGGACUGAGAUACGGCCCAGACUUCUACGGGAGGCAGCAGUUAAGAAUAUUCCGCAAUGGACGAAAGUCUGACGGAGCGACGCCGCGUGGAUGAAGAAUGCCGAAAGGUUGUAAAAUCCUUUUAAGCCUGAUGAAUAAGCACAGUAGGGAAUGAUUGUGCGGUGACCGUAGGGCUUGAAUAAGCACCGGCUAAUUACGUG
rnacentral:rRNA from 1 species